rnacentral:rRNA from 1 species
UGCCAGCCGCCGCGGUAAUACGUGUGGUGCAAGCGUUGUUCGGAAUCACUGGGCAUAAAGGGCGUGUAGGCGGCGACGUCAGUCAGUUGUGAAAUCCCUCGGCUCAACCGAGGAACUGCAAUUGAUACUGCGUUGCUAGAGUGUGGGAGGGGAGAACGGAAUUCCUGGUGGAGCGGUGAAAUGCGUAGAUACCAGGAGGAACGCCGGGGGCGAAAGCGGUUCUCUGGCCCACGACUGACGCUGAGGCGCGAAAGCUAGGGGAGCAAACAGGAUUAGAUA